AGAUUUCAUGUUUAAUCCCAUAAUUUUAAUUUCCUUUAAAUGAUUUUGGAAUCAAUAUUCCAUGUCAUUUCAAAAAUUUAAUAUUUUCAAAAAAAUGAGAACUCCUGUGAUGCUCUUAAUAGAUAAUCAUUUCUGAGUUAACUACUGGAUGCUUGGUAAGAAAACUGCCUUCCACUUAAGAGAUUUUAGAAUAAAUUCCAUACUUCCAGAUAAUCCACUGAGACUGAUUCCAAGACAAUCAGUUAGAGCCUGAUCUUUUGGAAAUUAAUGAAAUCCUUCAUGCAGAUUCAACAAAACCUUCAAACAAAGAAUAGACAUCCAGCCAACAAUAUUACAGUCAGUGAAAUAGCUGGUGUCUCUAACCCAUGCUCUGGAACAUUGCCUUUUGUAACAGAUUAUAAGCUUUUACAAAAGGCAAUAUUAAAAUAUCUUCCUAGAUGGAAAGGGCCAUUCCAAUGCCCAUUUGUAAAUUGCCCAUGAGCAUGAUAAAUCAGUCAAUAUAUAAAGAAUAGGAUUUAAUAUGCUAUGCCAAGAGUCUUUGAAAAAAAUCUAAUGAUGGAAAGUCAAUACUUCUAUGCAACCAUCCAUGGAAAAUUAAUCAGAUAAAAAUAUUAAAAGUUGAUUUCAAAAGUACAUUUUUCAGCACACCCUAAAUUAGUGCCCCAUCA
rnacentral:lncRNA from 1 species